GGCGAGAUGGCCGAGCGGUCUAAGGCGCUGUGUUAAGGUUGUUCCACUCCCUCCUUCUCAAUCUUGUGAAGGAGGACGUGUCAAUCCGCAGUCUUCGGACGUGGGUUCGAAUCCCACUCUCGUCA